rnacentral:lncRNA from 10 species
CAAAUAACCGAAGUUUUUAUUCUCAAGAGGGUGGCAUUCAUACAAUGAGAGUGGCUGAAGGAGGAGGCCACUCUUUAAAGAAAGUGGGGCUUUUAUGCCAAACGCAAUUAAGUCCUAUUUAUGGAUGCCCAUCUGGGAGGCAGUAAAUUGUGAAAUAAGGGGAAGGGAUAAGGGUUGGAGUAUCUUCCUAGUAUUCUUUACACAGUCUAUUACACUUUAAUAUACCAUGGUUUAUGGACCUGACAUGGUUGGUAUAAACCAACAGGACGCACAGUUAAGAAGUUGUUUUUAUUACAGCUCUACAAAUAUGGGAGCCGGGUGAUGCUAACGAGGAAACAAAGGGACUGCGCUCUGCUUCACGUGGGAUCCGUCUGAUGAAAAGAAAAUGCUGAGAGAACUGGGAUUCCCAAAGAAGAUGCUGCAGAAGAUAUUUUCCACAUUAAAGAACAUUUGAUCUGUUCCACCAGUAGAUGAACCAUUAGCAGAAGCAAUCAUUAUCAGAGCCAGUAAAAGGAAAUAAAGAAAUGAGGCUUGGUUUUUAAAGUGACCACACUGCUUCUAAGUCAAGGUGAAAGUGCUGACAGUGAAUUUAUCAGAAUUCCAGGUGGAAUCCUCCAGAGUCACCUUUCAAUCAUAACUGUCAUCCUCAGAGAAAAAGCUUUUGUUGAAGAAAAAUUUGUACAAACAUUGAAUAAUCACAUUGAUAUGGUAACAAUUUAACAAUACAUUCAAUAAGAAUGAAUGUUACAGUGGGUCACUUUUUCCCUGCUUUUUAUCAAACCUUUGUAUUUUCCCCAGAUUUUACAAGUAAUAAAUCCUCAUUGUAGAACAUUUGAGAAAGAUAUAAAUAAGAAAAUAAAAGCAGUGCAUAAGACUUUCUCUGAGCAAUGGCCACUAUUAAUAUGCUGAUUCAUUUCAUAAAUGUAUAUAUUUAUAAUCACACACUCAUUUGUGCUUUAGUUAUAUAGUUGAAAUUAUAUUGAAUGUAAUGUCCUUUCUUGCUUUUUCAUUUUUUCCCUUGCAUUUUAUUUAACAUAAAGGUAUAGGUAUA